UUUUUAUCUACUUACAGUAAGUGUAGUUUCGGAAUUUUCGUACAAGUUUCUGGGAAGAUGAUAACCUCAAACAAGAUCUGUUAACUUGAGGUACUGGAGUAAUGGCAGUGUACAAGGCAACAGAGGUCCCUGUCCUAAUGAAGUUUGCAGCCUUGGCAGGAGAGAUAGAUAACCAAAUAAACGAGCCCAAAGACUUCUGCCGAAAGCUGGAUGGAGUCGGUGAUAUUUCAAGAUGUUAACCUUAAGAAAGGCCAUACUGUUGGCUAUAGACUGAAUGUUUGCGGUUUGCGUCCUCUCAAAAUCCCUUUGUUGAACUUCUAAGCCCCAGUGUGAUGGUAUUCGGAGGUGGGACCUUUGGGAGGUGAUUAGGCCUUUGGGAUGGGAUUAGUGCCCCUCUAAGACUCCCCAGAGAGCUCCCUCACCCUUUCUGCUAUGUGAGGAUGAGGUAAAAGACAGCCGUCUAUGAACCAGGAUGCAGGCUUUCGCCAGAACCUAGCCAAGCUGGUGUCUCGAUCUUGGACCUCCCAGCCUCCAGAACUGUGAGAAAUAAAUUCC